GUUUUAAUAGUUUAAAAAAAACUUUAAUUUUGUAAAUUAAUAAUAAGAAUUUUCUUUUAAAACU
rnacentral:tRNA from 1 species